UCCACGGUAGCUCAGUCGGUAGAGCGGUCGGCUGUUAACCGAUUGGUCGCAGGUUCGAGUCCUGCCCGUGGAGCCA
rnacentral:tRNA from 2 species